GGUUAGUGUUAGGUGCGCGAAUUUAUUAUUAUGAUAAAUUCAAAAUGUGCCGCGAAUUUAUCGUAAUGAUAAAUUCGGACGUGUUUAAGAAUUUACUCAUAUAGUAUAUUCAAAGGUGGAGUUCAUGCUGUUAAAUAUAAGGCUAUGGAUUUAGUGGUUUUGGGGGAGAAUGGUUAAUAUAUACGUAAUUAUUACCUGCCAAGGUAUAAUGUCAUAAUAAGUAUAUCCAGGCAUGCGCUGUAGCGUCACUUCAGCCCGUGAUGACGACAGUAGUUGACAGUCCGUAUCCUUAAACAUUUGGAAAGCCGAGCAACGGCAAUCCAUUGAACAGUGGUAAAAACAUUGAACACGAGGCGUCUGAGUCAAGUUAAGAAACAGCUCAUCGUCGGCUAGACCAUAAUCCUCCUUGGCCUGGUCAAAACUGACUUCGUACAAUGCUUGUGUUAGAAUGUUUCGCCCCAAAAAAGGUAGAAGGAAAACUGCCACGGCCAAUGAAAGACCACUGAAAAAUCUAUAUGGAAUAAUUACCAUUUGGACAGAUGGAAAGAUGGAUUUAUUUUAGUUAAAAAAUUUAAUUGGGGCCUCCUACAAAUCAGCUGAAUAUAUUCGAACUGCAUGACAAUUAGUCAUAUCAAAUAGGAAAUGUAUUAUAUAUACCAAGUUGAAUUCAAAAUAUAAAAUAAACUAUUUUACAUUAUAAAUGAGAAAUUUAUUUUAUAAGAUUAAGAAAAGUAUUAACUAUCCAAAUAUUUUUUUUAUUAGCAUUUGUUGGC